rnacentral:rRNA from 1 species
UACGAAGGGGGCUAGCGUUGCUCGGAAUCACUGGGCGUAAAGGGUGCGCAGGCGGAUAUGUAAGUCAGUGGUGAAAUCUCCAGGCUUAACCUGGAAAUUGCCGUUGAUACUAUAUAUCUUGAAUGCUGUGGAGGUAAGCGGAAUAUGUCAUGUAGCGGUGAAAUGCUUAGAGAUGACAUAGAACACCUAUUGCGAAGGCAGCUUACUACGCAGAUAUUGACGCUCAUGCACGAAAGCGUGGGGAUCAAACAGG